rnacentral:misc_RNA from 1 species
GUUUAAAAUUUCAGGGAAUGGGUGUACUGGUUGCGGAGUCUGUGGAAAAUCAGAAUCAGACUGGUGUAGUUGUUGAUAAGAAGAAAAACCGUCGAUCUAGACGAUCUAAGCAAAAUUCUCCUCCAACAGCAAGUAGUUCGCUGACUGGCUGUCUUGGGGAAUCAAAUUUUAAGGGAGGUGUUCCCAUCUUGGAUCACGACGGAUCUAAAGAGUUUUCAUUGCCUAGAGCAUCAAACAUUGCCUUUACUUCCUUGCCCACGUUGCGUUUAAAUGAACAGUCAGCAGAGACAGGAAGUCUCCCUGUGCAGCUAACAUUUUCACCGGGUGUUGGUGGACAAGUAUAUUCCGGUUCAUGCCCAGACUAUAUUGCUUAUGGUGACCAGUCAAUUACUUCUUACCCACAGAGGAAAUAUUUUUCUUCACAUUGGCCAGCAGAAGCCGUUCACAAAGCAUUGGAGAG